GUACACGCUGUGACUAGCAUAUCAAUAAGCGGAGGAAAAGGACUGCGGAACUGAACGACCGCUACCUACGCUUAGGAUGUUGACGAGACUGUCGAUCUCAUCUAUACAUGACCCUGUGCAUAUCAAUAAGCGGAGGAAAAGAAACUAACAAGGAUUCCCCUAGUUAACGGCGAGUGAAGCGGGAAGAGCUCAAAUUUGAAAUCUUAAAGGGUUUCCCUUUACGAAUUGUAGUUUAAAGAAGUGUUUUCUGUUGAGGUUUUGGUAAAAGUUCUUUGGAAUAGGACAUCAUAGAGGGUGAGAAUCCCGUAUUUGACCUUUACUUUCAACUUUGUGAUACACUUUCAAAGAGUCAGAUUGUUUGGGAAUGCAGUCCAAAAUGGGUGGUAAAUUUCAUCUAAAGCUAAAUAUUGGCGAGAGACCGAUAGCGAACAAGUACCGUGAGGGAAAGAUGAAAAGAACUUUGAAAAGAGAGUUAAACAGUACGUGAAAUUGUCAAAAGGGAAGCGUUUGACACCAGUGUUGUCUUUCUGAAAAUCAAUUAAAGAACUGUUUAUGCUAAGUUGUUUAGACUUUAUCAGCUAACUGUUUAGUUUUGAGCUUUUCUUUAAUGCACUUUUCAGUUAACAAGUCAACAUCAAUUUCUUUUGCUGUAAAAAAGCUUGAGGAAGGUGGCUUGAGAUUCGUCUUAAGUGUUUAUAGCCUCUUGCCUAUGCAGUCGGAGAGAUUGAGGUCUGCAGCGUAGAUCCUUCGGGGCUAAAUGCAUUUGUGCUAAGUUAUAGCAUUUUAUAGACAACUUGUUGACUAUGAUUUGUCUUGUAGCUUACUCGCUUAUGUUAUUUUACCUACGCUUAGGAUGUUGAGUCGUAGAGCACGCAG
rnacentral:rRNA from 1 species